UGGGGAAUCUUGCGCAAUGGGCGAAAGCCUGACGCAGCCAUGCCGCGUGAAUGAUGAAGGUCUUAGGCUUGUAAAAUUCUUUCACCGGGGACGAUAAUGACGGUACCCGGAGAAGAAGCCCCGGCUAACUUCGUGCCAGCAGCCGCGGUAAUACGAAGGGGGCUAGCGUUGCUCGGAAUUACUGGGCGUAAAGGGAGCGUAGGCGGAAAGUUAAGCCAGGGGUGAAAUCCCGGGGCUCAACCGCGGAAUUGCCUUUGAUACUGGGGGGCUGGAGUGUGGGAGAGGUAUGUGGAACUCCGAGUGUAGAGGUGAAAUGCGUAGAUAUUAGGAGGAACACCAGUGGCGAAGGCGACAUACUGGCUGGUUACUGACGCUGAGGCUCGAAAGCGUGGGGAGCAAACA
rnacentral:rRNA from 1 species